AGAUAGGAUCUUGCUGUGUUGUCCAGGCUGAACUAGAACUUCUGCCUCAGAUUCCCAAGUAGCUAGGACUACAGCUGCCAUGUUGUAAGCUGUCCUGUGAAGAGGGCCACAGGGCAAGAAACUCAUGCAACCAACAGCUAUUGAGGAGCUGAGGCUUGUUAGCAGCCAUAUUCACUCCUUUGGUGUGAAUGAUUUUAAGACUUCAAAAGUGCAGCUGUUAAAUUUCAAGUUAUCUUCAAAAAUAUUAGCAAUAUCUGACCAGCUGAAUGGCGUUCAAUCCAUGCAAAUGGGACAUGAGAUAGGUGCCAGAAUGAUGACGACUGGAGCUGUGCUGAAAGUUGAAAGUACAGAAGAACAAAAAUCUGCUUUGUGAUUUGUUAAGAUGACUCCCCUCUCUUAACUGUGGUACUUCGGUCAGAGAGGAUGAUGAGCUGCGCAGAACUGACCAACAGCGGUAUCUGAACGAUGCUAUUAUUAUUGGGUUCUAAAUGAGUUAAACAAAUUAGUAAAGUGUUCUGAGAGCUCUCUACAAUGUACGUAGCCCUUUCACAAUAAAAUUGUAUUUAGUCUUUAUUAUUAGCCUGUA
rnacentral:lncRNA from 13 species